rnacentral:rRNA from 1 species
AACGAACGCUGGCGGCAGGCCUAACACAUGCAAGUCGAGCGAGGACUUCGGUUCUAGCGGCGGACGGGUGAGUAACGCGUGGGAAUGUGCCCUUCUCUACGGAAUAGCCCUGGGAAACUGGGAGUAAUACCGUAUACGCCCUAUUGGGGAAAGAUUUAUCGGAGAAGGAUCAGCCCGCGUUGGAUUAGGUAGUUGGUGGGGUAAUGGCCUACCAAGCCGACAAUCCAUAGCUGGUUUGAGAGGAUGAUCAGCCACACUGGGACUGAGACACGGCCCAGACUCCUACGGGAAGCAGCAGUGGGGAAUCUUAGACAAUGGGGGCAACCCUGAUCUAGCCAUGCCGCGUGAGUGAUGAAGGCCUUAGGGUUGUAAAGCUCUUUCAGCUGGGAAGAUAAUGACGGUACCAGCAGAAGAAGCCCCGGCUAACUCCGUG